rnacentral:rRNA from 1 species
UAGUGAUAGGUAUACUUUAGGAGGGGCUUGCGCCAUAUUAGUUAGUUGGUAGGGUAAUGGCCUACCAAGACGAUGAUGUGUAGCUGGACUGAGAGGUUGAACAGCCACAUUGGGACUGAGACACGGCCCAAACUCCUACGGGAGGCAGCAGUAGGGAAUUUUCGGCAAUGGAGGAAACUCUGACCGAGCAACGCCGCGUGAACGACGAAGUACUUUGGUAUGUAAAGUUCUUUUAUCAAGGAAGAAAAGCAAGUGGUGAACCAUUUGUUUGCCGGUACUUGAUGAAUAAGCCCCGGCUAAUUAUGUGCCAGCAGCCGCGGUAAGACAUAAGGGGCAAGUGUUAUCCGGAAUUAUUGGGCGUAAAGGGUGCGUAGGCGGUCUAGUAAGUCAGUGGUGUAAUGGCAACGCUCAACGUUGUCCGGCUAUUGAAACUGCUAAACUUGAGUUAGAUAGAGGCGAGUGGAAUUCCAUGUGUAGCGGUAAAAUGCGUAAAUAUAUGGAGGAACACCAGAGGCGUAGGCGGCUCGCUGGGUCUUAACUGACGCUGAGGCACGAAAGCGUGGGGAGCAAACAGGAUUAGAUACCCUGGUAGUCCACGCCGUAAACGAUGAGUACUAAGUGUCGGGUUAAACCGGUACUGAAGUUAACACAUUAAGUACUCCGCCUGAGUAGUACGUACGCAAGUAUGAAACUUAAAGGAAUUGACGGGACUCCGCACAAGCGGUGGAUCAUGUUGUUUAAUUCGAAGAUACCCGAAAAACCUUACCAGGUCUUGACAUGUUUUUGCGAAACGGUAGUAAUAUCGUGGAGGUUAUCAGAAACACAGGUGGUGCAUGGUUGUCGUCAGCUCGUGUCGUGAGAUGUUAGGUUAAGUCCUAAAACGAGCGAAACCCUUAUCGUUAGUUGCCAGCACGUUAUGGUGGGGACUUUAACGAGACUGCCAGUGAUAAAUUGGAGGAAGGUGAGGAUCACGUCAAAUCAGCAUGCCCCUUAUGACCUGGGCUACAAACGUGAUACAAUGGCUGUUACAAAGGGUAGCUGAAACGCAAGUUCUUGGCCAAUCCCCAAAAACAGUCUCAGUCCGGAUUGAAGUCUGCAACUCGACUUCAUGAAGUGGAAUCGCUAGUA